GAUGAACGCUGGCGGCGUGCCUAAUACAUGCAAGUCGAGCGAACAGAUGAGGAGCUUGCUCCUCUGACGUUAGCGGCGGACGGGUGAGUAACACGUGGAUAACCUACCUAUAAGACUGGGAUAACUUCGGGAAACCGGAGCUAAUACCGGAUAAUAUAUUGAACCGCAUGGUUCAAUAGUGAAAGACGGUUUUGCUGUCACUUAUAGAUGGAUCCGCGCCGCAUUAGCUAGUUGGUAAGGUAACGGCUUACCAAGGCAACGAUGCGUAGCCGACCUGAGAGGGUGAUCGGCCACACUGGAACUGGGACACGGUCCAACCUCCUACGGGAGGCAGCAGGAGGGAAUCUUCCGCAAUGGGCGAAAGCCGGACGGGGCAACCCCGCGUGAGUGAUGAAGGUCUUCGGAUCGUAAAACUCUUUUAUUAGGGAAGAACAAAUGUGUAAGUAACUAUGCACGUCUUGACGGUACCUAAAAAGAAAGCCACGGCUAACUACGU
rnacentral:rRNA from 1 species